GGGGAAUAUUGCACAAUGGGCGCAAGCCUGAUGCAGCGACGCCGCGUGCGGGAUGGAGGCCUUCGGGUUGUAAACCGCUUUUGUUUGGGAGCAAGCCCUUCGGGGUGAGUGUACCUUUCGAAUAAGCACCGGCUAACUACGUGCCAGCAGCCGCGGUAAUACGUAGGGUGCGAGCGUUAUCCGGAUUUAUUGGGCGUAAAGGGCUCGUAGGCGGUUCGUCGCGUCCGGCGUGAAAGUCCAUCGCCUAACGGUGGAUCUGCGCCGGGUACGGGCGGGCUGGAGUGCGGUAGGGGAGACUGGAAUUCCCGGUGUAACGGUGGAAUGUGUAGAUAUCGGGAAGAACACCAAGGGCGAAGGCAGGUCUCUGGGCCGUUACUGACGCUGAGGAGCGAAAGCGUGGGGAGCGAAC
rnacentral:rRNA from 1 species